UAUAAAUGCUUAAAAUAUACUUGCAAUAUUUAGAUCAAAAUACAUACCUUGUCUACUAGUAAAAAAUCUACUUGAUGAUCCAUUUGAAGAUCAACUUGAACCUCUAUCCAAUGCUCCAUCAAAAACUUUAAAUUCAACCUUCUUGUCUUCUUAUGCUAUCAAUUCCAAAUAACCAAAAAUAUAAUCCAACACCUUCUACUCCAAACCUUCACAUUGGAUUCACCACUUAUAUUGUAAUAUAUAUUGUCUUGUUUGAAAAUGCAACAGGCACCUGGCUAUAGAAGGUGAAGUUAUGUUUUAUAAAUAUCCAAGAAAUUCUAAUAGGUUUUAUCCAUAUUAGAAGAAUGAAACUCGAAUUUUAAUUCAAAAGUGCUUAAAGCUAAUACAAAGUACUCAAACACACUCUUCUUAGUAACCUUAAUCAUGCAUAAACUUCAAUUGCCUUAUUGCUUUUAUAAUUAGGUAAUUUUGAUUUUUCUUAGUAAAUCCUAAUUCUAAUUAAUGAGCUUUGGCAAGUUGUAAAUUUUUAUCUGACUAAUUAUUUGAUACCAAAUUUUGUAUACAAAUGCCAGUAUAAGUCUUUUAUAUGCUUAAAAAAUUUCAAUCCAAUCUAACUUACAAAAGUUGAGAAAAAGUCCAAAAAUUGCAUUGAUGUUA
rnacentral:lncRNA from 1 species